UGGACAGAUGUUUGGACCGUCAAUUGGACAGAUGUUUGGACCGUCAAUUGGACAGAUGUUUGGCCCGUUAAUUGGACAGAUGUUUGGACCCGUUAAUUGGACAGAUGUUUGGACCCGUUAAUUGGACAGAUGUUUGGACCCGUUAAUUGGACAGAUGUUUGGACCCGUUAAUUGGACAGAUGUUUGGACCCGUUAAUUGGACAGAUGUUUGGACCCGUUAAUUGGACAGAUGUUUGGGCUGUUAAUUGGACGUGUCGUUUGUUUCUCUGUUUUUCAGGCUGCAUCCUUAAUGAAGACAACUUUACCAUGAGGUGUCCAGAACACAAGAACAAAGUCUGGACCACCACGAGCCGACAAGACAAGAGAUGACAGCAAAACCCCUGCAGGUUCAAGCUUUUGAUUGAUUGAUUGAAUGAAUGAAUGAAUGGUUGGUUGGUUGGUUGGUUGAUUUGUUAGUUAAUUGGUUGGUUGGGUGGUUUUUUUGGUUGAUUGAUUGAUUGGUUGAUUCAUUCAUUGGUUAAUUGGUUGGUUGGUUGGUUGGUUGGUUGAUCAGUUGUGUGGCUUCUGAUUUGUUUUUCUUUCUUCUUCUGUACAUCAUGAAGGCUACAUUCACUGUGCAGAACGAUCAGAUCUUCUGUGUUGGACCAUGACAGUUUACAGAGGAAAUAUAGAUGUUAACAUGUUUCAGUCCGGGUUACAUCUGCAUACAUGGCAACUCCUUCAGACAUUUAGCUGUAUCUUCACUCU